AUGCUAAUGCGGCCAUAGACGGUUCCAAGCCCGCAACGCAGAGGAGCAU
rnacentral:ribozyme from 2 species